GGGGCUGUGGCUCAGUGGUAGAGCACUUGCCUUGCAUGUUUGAAGCACUGAGUUUGAUCCUCAGCACCA
rnacentral:tRNA from 1 species